rnacentral:lncRNA from 12 species
AUGCAGGAAUUCCAGGAGCAAGUACUCAACUAUUACAGACCUCCACCGGUUACUGAGCAGGGCCUUUGGAGAUACAUUUCUUAUAACCUAGAUAGAAUGAAGAGCAGAGGCGUCCUUGGGGGUGAUCUCAGGGACACCAGAAGAUCCCUGCUUCUAAAACACCUCCACCACCUUCCUGGCGGCCGCGUCCACCUGACACUGGGCUGCGGGAGAGCCCAGCUGUGCGGCAGGAGAAGCCCAGGCUCCCUACCCUCCGUUCAGCUGGGAAGACAGCGACGCAAUCAAACAGGAAAGAUGGCUGCACGUACUCAUAAGACAGAAGGAACACUUGCUGUUUAA